rnacentral:rRNA from 1 species
UACAGAGGGGGGCGAGCGUUGUUCGGAAUUACUGGGCGUAAAGGGCGCGUAGGCGGCUUGCUAAGUCGGACGUGAAAUCCCCUCGGCUCAACCGGGGGAACUGCGUCUGAUACUGGAUGGCUUGAGUUUGGGAGAGGGAUGCGGAAUUCCAGGUGUAGCGGUGAAAAUGCGUAGAUAUCUGGAGGAACACCGGUGGCGAAAGGCGGCAUCCUGGACCAACA